UACGUAGGCAGCGAGCGUUGUUCGGAGUUACUGGGCGUAAAGCGUGCGUAGGCGGUGGUCCAAGUCUGGUGUGAAAUCUCCCGGCUCAACUGGGAGGGUGCGCCGGAAACUGGGCCGCUGGAGUAUGGGAGAGGCAAGCGGAAUUCCAGGUGUAGCGGUGAAAUGCGUAGAUAUCUGGAGGAACACCGGUGGCGAAGGCGGAUCUCUGGGCCUUACCUGACGCUCAGGCGCGAAAGCUAGGGGAGCGAACAGG
rnacentral:rRNA from 1 species